rnacentral:rRNA from 1 species
UACGUAGGGCGCAAGCGUUGUCCGGAAUUAUUGGGCGUAAAGAGCUCGUAGGCGGUUUGUCGCGUCUGCUGUGAAAACCUGAGGCUCAACCUCGGGCUUGCAGUGGGUACGGGCAGACUAGAGUGCGGUAGGGGUGACUGGAAUUCCUGGUGUAGCGGUGGAAUGCGCAGAUAUCAGGAGGAACACCGGUGGCGAAGGCGGGUCUCUGGGCAGUAACUGACGCUGAGGAGCGAAAGCGUGGGGAGCGAACAGG